rnacentral:rRNA from 1 species
UACGUAGGCAGCGAGCGUUGUUCGGAGUUACUGGGCGUAAAGGGUGUGUAGGCGGUUGUUUAAGUUUGGUGUGAAAUCUCCCGCUCAACUGGGAGGGUGCGCCGAAUACUGAAUGACUUGGAGUGCGGGAGAGGAGAGUGGAAUUCCUGGUGUAGCGGUGAAAUGCGUAGAUAUCAGGAGGAACACCGGUGGUGUAGACGGCUCUCGCGUAACCGUACUGACGCAGACAAGAACGUGGGUAGCAAACAGG